AAGAAUAAAUCCACGAAGGGGUCAGAAAAUAGAAGAAAGAAGCUGCAUGACCAUCACUUGGGCUCACACUCCUACGCCAAUCUGGAAGAUGUUUAUUGUCAAGAUACGGGGAAAUCAUUAAUGCCGAUACACUUGAGGGCCAGAGCGGCAUAUGGUACUUUUCGUGAACAAUAUAGGGGUGAUGAGAGGAAUCGGGAUAAGAUCACGGCAAAUCUCGAGUUAGUGGAGGGAUUUGAGACUGCAUCCAAGGAGGCUGC